CUCUCUUCUUUCCAAAAUCACUUCAAAGAAACCCUAAAACCAUUUGUCUGGGUUCAAGCAACAAGGUCAGCUUUCUUUUGUCUUUUGGUUUACAUGAUUCUCCUAUCUUAAUGCUUUCAUUAUAUUUAAUUUUGUAAAAGAGAAACAAGAGAGAGAUGCUGCAGAUGAGAGACGCCGACGGGAGAUGGUCAUCUUCUCCGACGACUGGUGUCAGCGAUAGGGCUUUCUUAGUAGCCAGCAACAGCAACGAUGGUGGUUCCAAAGUGGUUGUUGUUGUUGUCAUCAGGGUUCAGCAAAGGGUGAGAUCUGUCUUCCAACGGCUAGGGUUCCGCCAUGAAUCACUGGCGGCAAUGAACAUUGAUUAUUGACAUAGUCCAGUCGACCAAUUUCAUGCUCUGUGACUCUGAGUUUCCAAUUGAAGGAUCUGUCAACAACAUUGUCAAACGGGUCUAACCAAAUUAGUUGAUUGGAAAGUGAGGUAUUGAAAUUUGGGGUCAUGCAGUUCAAGAAAUGAUUGAAUCCAAAUAUUCUCUCUGGGAGAUCAAAGAAUUGUAAACAAAGGAAUGGGACAUGUUAUCUGAACUUAUUUAGACUCAAACGAGAGUGGAACUGGGAAUGAAGAGCUUAAUGACGAUGCUGCCCAUGAAGAUGAAGACUAUGACAUAGUGACUAUUCAUUUGACUUGACGGUACUGGUCGCAUAAUAUGGCGGAAAGGUUGGUUAGUUUAUCUUCACACAUUUUAUUUGUUCCUGAUCUAUGUAAGAUGUCGGGUUCCACAACACAGUACACACAUAAACAAGAUUAAAGAAAUGCAAAACUGGAUGGGAAGCUUCAAGAAGGAAGGGCCGAAAUGAACAAAUUUGGCAUAUCAGUGGGGUUUUUUUAGUACAACGGCUGGUGGCGUUUCUCACUUUUUUCUUGUGGAGGACCCGAAUCCGAGCUUGCGUCUAAUCUAUCAACUAUUUCUCCACCAAAUUCCUAUGUCAACGGUCAACACUAUUGAAUAAUAUAAUUUAUUGUAAGACCACCCGUGUAACACACGGGUACUUGAACCUUUGUAUUUUUUCCAAGUUUAAGGUUUUCAAGUUAAAAAUUCUUUUUGGUGA